rnacentral:rRNA from 1 species
GACGAACGCUGGCGGCGUGCUUAACACAUGCAAGUCGAACGGAAAGGCCUGCUUUCCCUUGUGGAUUGCGGGUACUCGAGUGGCGAACGGGUGAGUAACACGUGAGUGAUCUGCCCCCAACUUGGGUAUAAGCCUGGGAAACUGGGUCUAAUUCCCGAUAGGACUGCAGGGUGGUGCCUGUGGUGGAAAACGAUUUUCUAGUGGUUGGGGAUGAGCUCGCGGCCUAUCAGCUUGUUGGUGGGGUAAUGGCCUACCAAGGCGGGGACGGGUAGCCGGCCUGAGAGGGUGGACGGCCACAUUGGGCCUGAGAUACGGCCCAGACUCCUACGGGAGGAAGCAGUGGGGAAGAAUGCACAAUGGGCGGAAGCCUGAUGCAGCGACGCCGCGUGGGGGAUGACGGCCUUCGGGUUGUAAACUCCUUUCGACCGCGAGGAAGCCACCUGGUUGGAAGGGUGGUGACGGUAGUGGUAGAAGAAGCACCGGCUAACUACGUG